AGCCCAAAACAUCAUCGAACAGCCCCAAAGUUUUAGCCGCGCUAGGAGAGCUUCCGAGGCAAGUUUUGGAGAGUUUCGGUAAAGAAAAACAAGUUGGACAUAAGCGUAGCUAGUAAGGCGCAGCACAGGUACACCCAGACAAGUAGAAGCUACUAUAGAAGAUGUUCCAGCGGGGUUGGCAACUCCACUUGUUCUGGAGUGCUGCCAAGUCAGAGUUUAUGCGCUAUGAUGUUUCGUUCGAAGUUAGAGACUUUGCAGACAGAGUUGUGGGUAUAGAGAGUCAUCUUUGUAAGCGGCGUCACCAGCCGAUAUGUUAUUAUGUCGUAUGUUAUAAGUUUUAUGGAAUGAUAGAUUUUGGAAAAAAAUAAUUCA